rnacentral:rRNA from 1 species
AGUGAACGCUGGCGGUAGGCCUAACACAUGCAAGUCGAACGGCAGCACAGUAAGAGCUUGCUCUUACGGGUGGCGAGUGGCGGACGGGUGAGGAAUACAUCGGAAUCUACUUUUCGUGGGGGAUAACGUAGGGAAACUUACGCUAAUACCGCAUACGACCUACGGGCGAAAGCAGGGGAUCUUCGGACCUUGCGCGAUUGAAUGAGCCGAUGUCGGAUUAGCUAGUUGGCGGGGUAAAGGCCCACCAAGGCGACGAUCCGUAGCUGGUCUGAGAGGAUGAUCAGCCACACUGGAACUGAGACACGGUCCAGACUCCUACGGGAGGCAGCAGUGGGGAAUAUUGGACAAUGGGCGCAAGCCUGAUCCAGCCAUACCGCGUGGGUGAAGAAGGCCUUCGGGUUGUAAAGCCCUUUGUUGGGAAAGAAAAGCAGCAGGUUAAUACCCCGCUGUUCUGACGGUACCCAAAGAAUAAGCACCGGCUAACUUCGUG